UGGGGAAUUUUGGACAAUGGGGGCAACCCUGAUCCAGCAAUGCCGCGUGUGUGAAGAAGGCCUUCGGGUUGUAAAGCACUUUUGUUCGGGAAGAAAUCCCUUGGGCUAAUACCCCGGGGGGAUGACGGUACCGGAAGAAUAAGCACCGGCUAACUACGUGCCAGCAGCCGCGGUAAUACGAAGGGUGCAAGCGUUAAUCGGAAUUACUGGGCGGAAAGCGCGCGUAGGUGGUUCAGCAAGUUGGAUGUGAAAUCCCCGGGCUCAACCUGGGAACUGAAUCCAAAACUACUGAGCUAGAGUACGGUAGAGGGUGGUGUAAUUUCCUGUGUAGCGGUGAAAUGCGUAGAUAUAGGAAGGAACACCAGUGGAGAAGGCGACCACCUGGACUGAUACUGACACUGAGGUGCGAAAGCGUGGGGAGCAAACA
rnacentral:rRNA from 1 species